rnacentral:rRNA from 1 species
GACGUAGGGCGCGAGCGUUGUCCGGAUUUAUUGGGCGUAAAGAGCUCGUAGGCGGUUUGUCGCGUCUGCUGUGAAAACUCGGGGCUUAACUCCGGGCCUGCAGUGGGUACGGGCAGACUAGAGUGCGGUAGGGGAGACUGGAAUUCCCGGUGUAGCGGUGAAAUGCGCAGAUAUCGGGAAGAACACCCGUGGCGAAGGCGGUUCUCUGGGACGGUACUGACGCUGAGACGCGAAAGCGUGGGGAGCGAACAGG